GGACCAGUUUGUACGCCAGUAUUUCUUGCUAAGAUACGGGUCCGGGAUACCUCACUGUGCGAAUGCGGGUUCGAUGAAGGCACCGUAGAUCACAUUUUCUUUUCUUGUCCGAGAUUCAAUUACUCUUUGUAUGAUGUGCUACCUGAAAAUAUUCCACGACCUAUAAAUUUCUACUCACUUCUCACUCUAAUGGACCCGCCUCUAACUUCUAUUCUUAUUAAGUAUAUACAGGAGCAUGAUAUAAAACUUUAAUUUUUACUCUUACUAUAUUUCUAUCUAUCUAUAUAUUUUAAUUUCUAUGUUUUUUCCUCCAUUUCAUCCGCUAUGUUGCUUGCCUUAACAAUCUGUCAUCCGCUUUCCGCUCUUUUUACUAAUGUUGGUAUUAUGUCAAAUGUGUCAUGUCAUGUGUUUGUCUGUGUUGUCCAUAAUAUUUGUUUGUUUUAGGUUCCCAGUCUAUCCUUCCACAAAAAUCAAAAUUAAACCGAACAUUUUCUGCUCACAUAAGUCAAAAGUCCACACCUCGACAUUGGCAGAAUCCACCUUGCUAAAUUAGCGAGGAGUAAAAGCCAUUUAUGGAAAAAAAAAAAAAAAAAAAAUGUUCUUUGAUUCCUCCGCUAUUUCAUUCAAUGUCUAUUUAAUUUACAGUCAGUACAUUUUUUAAGAUUGUACUUCUACGACUUUUUACAAAUAUAGCUCGCAAUGGACCCCAAUGGUUACAGAAAGUGUGUUAAAUGCGGAACAACACGUAAUCAAGAUAAUACAAUUACAAUGCACCGUUUCCCUUUCCCGGGAACAAAUAAUAUUUUAAAGGCAAUGGCGUGGGCUUCGUAUUGCUGGCCUGAUCAAGACUGCUCUUCCGUAAAGGAUCUGACCUCGCUCUUUUAUAAGCACAAAGUUAUAUGUAGCAGACAUUUUCAAGAUACCAUGUUUAUUGAUGAUUCCAAGAAACGUCUCUCCAGAUAUGCAGUCCCGGGAACAAAGGAAUUUGUAACCAAUAUUUUGCAAUCAUUAAAGACCAAAAUAUCAGUAGCUUCAAUAGUACAACAGGUUCACUUGUCACUCGAUCAUUCUGUGGCUGGUUGUACAACAGGUCUUCAGUCUUGUAAGUAUUUAUUCUUUUUAUUAGAUAGUGAAAUUUCAAUCAUUUAAAUUACAACAAAUCUACAAAAUUGCAUUUAGCAGUUUACAGAUCAAUUUUACGUAUUUUAGAAACUUUUAAGUGAUAAACUAUUUUAUUUAGAAACUUACAAUAAGUUUACAAAAGUAUUACAUAUUUGUGAGAAAAGGAUUAUUUCAUCUAAAAGAAGUCAAGUUUCUGGAACUGGAAUACUCAAGUCUCUCAAAAAUUCUGGUAAGUAUACUUUUGUAAAUAUUUAUUUAUAUAAUAUUAUUUUAUGUAAUUUCCUUUCCUACCAAAAAUAUUUGUAAAGUUUUUUUUUAAGGUGGAUAUAUUUAGGAGACAGUUUCCCUAACAAUAACACCAACAUAACACUUGUCCUUAUAAGUUUCAGAAUGAUUCACAAGGGUGUCAAAUAAUGAAACUGGAAUUUUAUGAAUGUAUGAAGACCAACAUGGAGUAAGUAAUGUAUUUUGUGGUUACUAAACAGGCCGGGAAAUAGAGUAGCCCAUAUUUGUCAGCACCUAGCCCAUGAUCUACUAAUA